rnacentral:rRNA from 1 species
AUACGUAGGGGGCGAGCGUUGUCCGGAAUGAUUGGGCGUUAAAGGGCGCGUAGGCGGCCUGUUAAGUCUGGAGUGAAAGUCCCGCUUUUAAGGUGGGAAUUGCUUUGGAAACUGGCGGGCUUGAGUGCAGGAGAGGUUAGUGGAAUUCCCGGUGUAGCGGUGAAAUGCGUAGAGAUCGGGAGGAACACCAGUGGCGAAGGCGACUAACUGGACUGUAACUGACGCUGAGGCGCGAAAGUGUGGGGAGC